rnacentral:rRNA from 1 species
GACGGGGGGGGGGCAAGUGUUCUUUGGAAUGACUGGGCGUAAAGGGCACGUAGGUGGUGAAUCGGGUUGAAAGUGAAAGUCGCCAAAAAAGUGGCGGAAUGCUCUCGAAACCAAUUUACUUGAGUGAGAUAGAGGAGAGUGGAAUUUCAUGUGUAGGGGUGAAAUCCGUAGAUCUACGAAGGAACGCCAAAAGCGAAGGCAGCUCUCUGGGUCCCUACCGACGCUGGGGUGCGAAAGCAUGGGGAGCGAACAGGG